AGUGAACGCUGGCGGUAGGCCUAACACAUGCAAGUCGAACGGCAGCACAGUAAGAGCUUGCUCUUACGGGUGGCGAGUGGCGGACGGGUGAGGAAUACAUCGGAAUCUACUUUUUCGUGGGGGAUAACGUAGGGAAACUUACGCUAAUACCGCAUACGACCUACGGGUGAAAGCAGGGGAUCUUCGGACCUUGCGCGUUUGAAUGAGCCGAUGUCGGAUUAGCUAGUUGGCGGGGUACAGGCCCACCAAGGCGACGAUCCGUAGCUGGUCUGAGAGGAUGAUCAGCCACACUGGAACUGAGACACGGUCCAGACUCCUACGGGAGGCAGCAGUGGGGAAUAUUGGACAAUGGGCGCAAGCCUGAUCCAGCCAUACCGCGUGGGUGAAGAAGGCCUUCGGGUUGUAAAGCCCUUUUGUUGGGAAAGAAAAGCAGCAGGUUAAUACCCCGCUGUUCUGACGGUACCCAAAGAAUAAGCACCGGCUAACUUCGUG
rnacentral:rRNA from 1 species